GGUUGAUCGAGAUUUUGCUAUUGGUCUGCUCUCCGGAGACUCAAGCUUGUUAGAAGAAGGGGGCACGAUGUUCACCUUCGAAGGAUAAAAGCUCUCUUAAAGUUUCUCUUAGAGUUCAUAGUCCGCGGUUUUACUGGAAGGUUGCAACUCAAGGUGACUUAGGCCUUGCCGAUGCUUUUAUUCAAGGGGAUUUUUCUUUUGUUGAUAAGAAUGAAGGUCUUCUUAAUCUUUUCAUGAUUUUCGUUAACAACAGAGAUUUGAAAGCAUUAGUGACAAGGUCUAGUAAGAAAAGGUAAGUAGUUUAUAGAAACUG